AACCUUACCUACUCUUGACAUCCAGAGAACUUAGCAGAGAUGCUUUGGUGCCUUCGGGAACUCUGAGACAGGUGCUGCAUGGCUGUCGUCAGCUCGUGUUGUGAAAUGUUGGGUUAAGUCCCGCAACGAGCGCAACCCUUAUCCUUUGUUGCCAGCGGUCCGGCCGGGAACUCAAAGGAGACUGCCAGUGAUAAACUGGAGGAAGGUGGGGAUGACGUCAAGUCAUCAUGGCCCUUACGAGUAGGGCUACACACGUGCUACAAUGGCAUAUACAAAGAGAAGCGACCUCGCGAGAGCAAGCGGACCUCAUAAAGUAUGUCGUAGUCCGGAUUGGAGUCUGCAACUCGACUCCAUGAAGUCGGAAUCGCUAGUAAUCGUGGAUCAGAAUGCCACGGUGAAU
rnacentral:rRNA from 1 species